ACCAGCAGCCAUGUCACUCUGCAACUUACAACUGGCAACCCACUGAAGCUAAGCAGGUGUGAGCCUGGUCAGUACCUGGAUGGGAGACCUUCUGGGAAAAACUAAGGUUGCUGCUGGAA
rnacentral:rRNA from 1 species